rnacentral:misc_RNA from 1 species
AACGCACCUUGCGCUCUAGUGUUAUUCCUUAGAGCAUGCUUGUUUGAGUGUCUCGUACCCCUCCACCCCGUCAGGGCUCGCACCUGAUUGCUAGGGUUUGGAAUCAUGACGCGUGUUGCGGCUGUUUACAGCUUUAACUGCGUUGAAAUACAAAAAGCUGAAUCUUAUCGUGCGGCUUGACCUGUUGUCAUAAACUAAAUUCAAUGGGAACGCAUGGACUAGAACGAGCUUACCAGAAAGGUUCGCAAGAACACAGUGCAUUUUGACCUCAAAUCAAGUAGGACUACCCGCUGAACUUAA